rnacentral:tRNA from 1 species
AUCGCCGUAGAUGGUGAUUCGCCGCUUCGCGCGCAGUGCUGAGUAGAGGAGGUCUGCCGCGUGCGAGGCGCCCGGCAACA